CCCAGAGAGUGGGUUCUACGGAGCGCGAGAACGGCCAAGCGCGCGUCUGCGUGGUCUUAGCUCCCUGGUUCCUUGUCUUCCUCGUUAAGUCAGUACCUUGUAAUUUCCUGUCGAACCCAUUAACUGGGCCUUCCUGCACGGCGCGCUUUCGCAUCGCUUCUCAGUUACUCUAGACGUCUGCGAGUGUGUCGUUUUGUGCGUGUUUUGUUGUGAAACGAAAGCCAGCCCGUCUUCACUGCUAAAUUGUUCCCGAAAUUUGUAAACCCGCGCAGAUCGGGAUUCAGUAGGUGCAUUUCAUUAGGUGCAUUUAAAACGCCUACGACGCGCCAGACACAGGAACUGGGUUCGGGAUACAGUAAAGAGAGAACGUAGUCUUUGAGAAAUCCGGCAUGAAUUUCGCCAUACAGACCUGGAAGAGUUAGGAGUGGAAUCUGAGAUCCCUGAAACUGACUUUUACUGGAAGCAGCAUUUUGAAUUUUGCAUUGAUUGGUCAUUCUCCUGUCCCCAUUUCAAAACGCAAACAUAUGAAAUACAGCCGCAUAUAGUCAGUAGUCCUUUUGCCUUUUUUUUUUUUUAACUUCCUCUCCUGCUAAGCCCCCAAGCCUGUUGUUGCAGGAUUUUUUUUUUACGUCAAUACCCGGGGUUCAUCAUUGUCUUGCGGCUUUGAAGAAUGAAGAGGUGGAAACAAACUGAGCAGCAGGCAAAAGUUCAUUAGAAUGUAAGAAAGGAAGAAAAGUAUGGAAGCCCUCUUUUCAAAGAGGUGGCAUUCGAAAGUGAAUGCCCAGGACCUUAGGCAAGGGUACUUGCUUUAUGAGGUUCUGGUUGCCCUCCCUUCCCCCUGGUUCUUUCUCUCCUCCUGCCCAUAUUGGCUUGAUAACUAGGCGCUGGGUUGUCCAUUCCUGAUUGGCUCUUUUCCAUUGUAUGAGGGGUGGUCUAUGGCCAUACCCUUCCUGGUGGGUCACACGGUGUUGUGGUCUCGUUUGUUAGUCAGGCCUUUUGUCAGAUUUCUGAGGGAAAUCUGGGGGGUGGGUAGUGUCUGUUAGAUUCUUAAGAGGACCCUUGUGCCUGAGGGGGUUUGCUGUGGGCCUACACUCUGCAUUGUUCCAAAACUUGUGUUUUUCCCCACCCAGGGACCUUCGGUCUUAAUCUUUCCCUCUCUGCCUCUUGUAUCCUAUCUUUUGCCUGUCACUGUCAGCAAUUAUUAGGUGUUUGAUAAGUGCCAGCACCAUGGAUACAGUGAGCAGAUAAUGUGAGACUCCCCAAGUCUGUGAAGAAAACAAAAAUGGGUAACAUGGGUGCGGGCAGAGUUAACCAGAACAGAGAGAGACUGGAAGUUUAAUACAUUUACAUAGUUCCUUUUUAGCUUUGUGUGUGCUUUCAAAUUUCCAUUUGAAAAGUGUUGAGCUGCUGCUUUCUACUCAUAACUCCUCCUAAAAGGAUGCUGCUCACUUAGUUGGCGAUUUAGUUACCUAGUUAACUUUUGCUUAAAAAAAAAAAAAAAAAGCUGCAGGAUUUUUAAGGAUGAGAUUUAUUCCUGCCACUCUCAUGUUUGUGGCCGGAUUAAGAUUUGAACCGAAGAUUAGAAUACCUAAAGGCCACAGGGAAGGUACAAAGCGGCAUGGGGGUCAGAGAGUGGGGAUGAUGUGGAAAGACAAAGGAUUGAAGGCUGUGGCAACAUUUGAAACGGGAAAACACAACAAGAACAAUUAAAAGCAUCCCAAACAGGGAAGAUGAAAGAAAUGGAGAGGAAGGGCAGAGGCACAGAUGUCUCCUUGGCUGUUUUGGAAGUUAUCCUACCACAUUUGUAUCUUUGAAAGAGAAUGCGGUAGUUUCAGCAAAUGUGUAAUUAAAGUUAAUAAAAGUUAAUAUGCUAAGCA